CUCAUUUUCUCCUUUUACGGUUUUUCCCCAAAUCUUCCCUCUUAUCUUCACACGACCUUUAGGUUUUAUCUUUUAGAAUCACCUUCCCAAUCCCAUCAACGUUUCAGUCCAGUGGAUGGAGCUUCGAAUUAGGUAUGAAUGAGCAUUGUCCUUAUCCCAAAUCAGAAUUAGGGUUUCAAAUUGUAAGCUCCUUCCCCUCUAGUUUUAAUUGUUUAUAGUUUAUGAUUUUGAUUCCCUAUCUCUAAUUAUUUCUGCUUCGGUUACAGAUUGAUAUACAAAUCAAUUACUAGGUUCUUUCUCUUCCUUACCUUUUUAUUUCUUCUUAGUUCUUCUGUUUUUCCCAUUUUUUUUAACUGAAAAUUGAUAUUAAAACUAGAGCUUGAUAAAUUGGGACUGAAUUAUCUUGGCGACAUCUACAAGCAGUAUAAGUUGGAUUAUAUCAACCAGAUAUUACCCACAGGGGUCUUUUACUACUUCUUUACGUGUCAAAGAAGGGUUUUAGGCCAAUUCUUCUGAUGUUCUGAAUCUGUUCACCUUUUCCUUUUUCCUUUUUCUUCCCAUCUGAAGCUGAUUAGUUAAUUUCUGAAUUUAGACUUAUCCGAAAGAAAUUCUAAAUUUACAACUUUUGGUUGAGAUUUUGGCUUGAAUCGGAGGAAUUUUCUUUGAUUGCUAGUUGUUAAUCUGGCAUAAACACAUAUGGGACUGCCAAAUGCUUGUCUUUUUAGAGAAUCCCUCCAUGUUAAUAUUGGGCGCCAAUGCAGCUUGCCCUCCAGCUUUUCGAUUGAAUGCUUGAAUGAGUGAUCACUGCAACUUCAUGCUGCUCGUUAUUUUUCUAUGAUGGGGUUUCUCCUUUUCAACAAAAAAAUACAUUUCUUGCCAGUAUAUAUCUAGCUGAAGUGGACUGCAUAAUUAUCAAUCCCCCAAAUUUAUUGUUGUUGCUUAAAGAAGUGUAUGUUCAAUAUACAGAUAAGGGAUAAUGGAAUCAUGCUAAUCUGAGACAAUUAUGUUAGCUUAUUGCAGGUCCAAUUUGGAAUUGUCAAAGUCCCAGUUAGAGGUCUUGGCUUAACGCAACUCUGAAAAAACAUUUUAAAUUACUACUUAGGAACUCAUAAGAAAUAGAAAAAAAUACUAUUAUGUUUACUUCUUAUACUAGGAAUUUGGGGUAUCAAAAAUGAAACUAAUAUUUAACUGUAUUUAAUGGUAGUUUUUUCUUUAUUCUAGUAGUUCUAAUAUGUUAUUCUUUUUUUCUUUAUUCUAGUAGAUCUGCAAAUGUAGUUUCUUUAAGUGCUUUAUAAAAAAAUGGAUAGCUUUUUUAAGUCCUAGUGAGGGUCAGUCAGCUGCAAUUGUUUUAUAGCAAGGUUAAAUGAGUUGUCCAAGGUAUUGUGACUUGAUCUUUAAUUAGUUGUGUGUUAUGUUAUGUGAUUGUGCUUUGGACCCUUCAUUGUUCUUGAUAUCUAAGAGUAAAUGAUAUUUAGUUGAAUCAUAUGACUAAAUAUUUAGGAAGGAUUGAUAUAUUACAGUCUUAUCAAAUGUAACAUUCAAAGCUUUCUCCUUUGGCAACAUGUAGCUGCAGUAGUGUAAAAACAAAAAAGAGAAAAUAGCAUGUCAUUUAUUUCUUUUGCUUAUUAAAAAAAACAAAAACAAAGACUCUCACUAAAGAAGAUGAUAUUUCAUCACCUGAACGUGUAUGCAUGGCUAAAUGUAAGGUGGUUAUGUUAAGCUUAUUAUUCUAAUAAUUUGUAUUGUAUGAUGAUUUGCACAAUAGUGCUGGUCAGUAUUAAUCCUUAAAUGGUAUUAUGUGCAUCUAACUUAGUGUAUUACCCACUUGUACUACGUAAUUAAAUCUGAGUUUUGGUAUUUAAUCACGUGGUUGAGGUAUGGUCAGAUGAUUGAUGAUGUUGUCUUAAUUGUCAAAGAGUAAGUGAUCUUUAUUUAGUUGUGUGCUUGCUUCACUUUUGGUAGUGUAUAUUUCGCAAUAGAAGAAAUUGAGUAUAUUAUCAAUUGCUCAGGUACAAUUUGCAUAUUUAAGUUGAGGAGAUUUUCAUAUCGAUUACGUGGAGUGUGUACUCUUAUUCAAAUUGCAUCACUCAUUAGGUCCUUUGGAGAUCAAUGGCUACUCUUUCACUUGUGACUGUCGUCUCUGCCAUAUUACGAUGAGCCUUUCAUUCAGUACAAAGUCAGGCUCAAAACAAGUGUGACGAUAUCCUUAACUAUUGAUAUUACUAUUGUAAAUUCUUGGAACUCGCAUGCUUCAGCUUUGGCUAAUUUAGGAGCCAAAUCAUCAAUAACCAAACUUCUAACCUGGAUCACGGAUCCAUUAAGCCCAGGUAUCCUAAGAUUUGAUUGCUCCCCUCAAUUGGGAAGUGGCAGCCCUUCCGAAUUUGGACAAAAAUCUUUUUUCCUUGCUGGUGUGGUUAAUGCAAUAACUCAGGAGUUGUGUAGCAAUACUCUUGAGUGUGUUAUCAAUAGGUUGAAAAUGGCAGCUCAAAAUUUUCUUUCGCUCGAAACAAGUGGAAGGAGCUCACAAGAUAGGAGAGACGUUAUGAUUAAAUUACAUUGUAUUUUUCAAGAUAAUCACAUUUUUAUCACAGGACUUAUUAUUUUGUCAUUAAUUGAUUAUAUUUGUGAUAAAACAUAGUAUUUGUCCCAGAA